rnacentral:rRNA from 1 species
GAUGAACGCUAGCGGUAGGCUUAAUACAUGCAAGUCGAGGGACAGCACAGGUAGCAAUACUGGGUGGUAACCGGCAAACGGGUGCGGAACACGUACACAACCUUCCUUUAAGUGGGGGAUAGCCCAGAGAAAUUUGGAUUAAUACCCCGUAAUAUAGUUGAAUGGCAUCAUUUGAUUAUUAUAGCUACGGCGCUUAAUGAUGGGUGUGCGGCUGAUUAGAUAGUUGGCGGGGUAACGGCCCACCAAGUCUACGAUCAGUAGCUGAUGUGAGAGCAUGAUCAGCCACACGGGCACUGAGACACUGGCCCGACUCCUACGGGAGGCAGCAGUAAGGAAUAUUGGUCAAUGGACGCAAGUCUGAACCAGCCAUGCCGCGUGAAGGAUUAAGGUCCUCUGGAUUGUAAACUUCUUUUAUUUGGGACGAAAAAGGGCCUUUCUAGGUCAACUGACGGUACCAGAUGAAUAAGCACCGGCUAACUCCGUGCCAGCCGCCGCCGUAAGAC